UACGUAGGGUGCAAGCGUUAAUCGGAAUUACUGGGCGUAAAGCGUGCGCAGGCGGCUUUGCAAGACAGAUGUGAAAUCCCCGGGCUUAACCUGGGAACCGCAUUUGUGACUGCAUAGCUGGAGUACGGCAGAGGGGGAUGGAAUUCCGCGUGUAGCAGUGAAAUGCGUAGAUAUGCGGAGGAACACCGAUGGCGAAGGCAAUCCCCUGGACCUGUACUGACGCUCAUGCACGAAAGCGUGGGGAGCAAACAGG
rnacentral:rRNA from 1 species